rnacentral:rRNA from 1 species
AGCGCAGGUGGGAAAGUAAGUCAGUCUUAAAAGUUCGGGGCUCAACCCCGUGAUGGGAUUGAAAACUACUUUUCUUGAGUGCAGGAGAGGAAAGCGGAAUUCCUAGUGUAGCGGUGAAAUGCGUAGAUAUUAGGAGGAACACCAGUGGCGAAGGCGGCUUUCUGGACUGUAACUGACACUGAGGCUCGAAAGCGUGGGGAGCGAACA